GAUCGGCGAGGAAUACGAUACCCGCCGCACCUUCGAGAAUCAAGUGUUGCUUCUGGGGGGAGUAUGUCGCAGCUGAACUAAAGGAAUUGACGGAAGGGCAUCACCGGGUGUGGAGCUGCGGCUUAAUUUGACUCAACACGGGAAAACUUACCAGGUCAGGACAUAGUGAGGAUUGACAGAUUGAGAGCUCUCUCUUGAUUCUAUGGUUGGUGGUGCAUGGCCGUUCUUAGUUGGUGGAGUGAUUUGUCUGGUUAAUUCCGUUAACGAGCGAGACCUGGGCGUGCUAACUAGGGGCUACUACCAUUUUGGUAGUACGCUUACCCUUCUUAGACGGACUGUGGGCGUCUAGUCCGCGGAAGCUCCAGGCAAUAACAGGUCUGAGAUGCCCUUAGAUGUUCUGGGCCGCACGCGUGCUACACUGAGUGGAUCAGCGGGUCAGGUUGCGCGAAAGUGUUUCCUAAUCUUGAAAUCCGCUCGUGAUGGGGAUUGACGGUUGCAAUUUUCCGUCAUGAACGAGGAAUACCUUGUAAGCGCGGGUCAUCAUCCCGCGCUGAAUACGUCCCUGCCCUUUGUACACACCGCCCGUCGCUCCUACCGAUUGAGUGGUCCGGUGAGGCUUUGGGAUCUAGGCAAACAGAGCGUUUCGCUUGGUCUGCCCGGAGAACUCAGUCGAACCUUAUCAUUUAGAGGAAGGAGAAGUCGUAACAAGGUUUCC
rnacentral:rRNA from 1 species